UUUGAUCCUGGCUCAGGAUUAACGCUGGCGGUACGUCUAAUACAUGCAAGUCGAACGGAGCACAUGUGCUCAGUGGCGAACGGGUGAGUAACACGUAGGUAACCUGCCCUUAAGACGAGGAUAACUCUGGGAAACUAGAGCUAAUACUGGAUUGGAAGCGACCUUGGCAUCAAGGAAGCUUGAAAGGUGCGAUAGCACCGCUUAAGGAGGGGCCUGCGGCGCAUUAGUUAGUUGGUGAGGUAACGGCUCACCAAGACAAUGAUGCGUAGCUGGACUGAGAGGUUGAACAGCCACACUGGGACUGAGAACGGCCCAGACUCCUACGGGAGGCAGCAGUAGAGAAUCUUCGGCAAUGGGGGGAACCCUGACCGAGCGAUACCGCGUGAUUGAAGAAAUACUUCGGUAUGUAAAGAUCUUUUACAAAGGAUGAAUGGCGUCAGUAGGAAAUGACUGACGAGUGACAGUACUUUAGGAAUAAGCCCCGGCUAACUAUGUGCCAGCAGCCGCGGUAAUACAUAGGGGGCAAGCGUUAUCCGGAAUUAUUGGGCGUAAAGGGUGCGUAGGCGGCUAGUUAAGUUCAAGGUCUAAAUUUAAGGCUCAACUUUAAAAUGCUUUGAAAACUGGCUAGCUUGAGAGAGGUAGAGGCAAGUGGAGUUCCAUGUGUAGCGGUAAAAUGCGUAAAUAUAUGGAGGAACACCAGUGGCGAAGGCGGCUUGCUGGGCCUUAUCUGACGCUGAUGCACGAAAGCGUGGGGAGCAAACAGGAUUAGAUACCCUGGUAGUCCACGCCGUAAACGAUGAGUACUAAGUGGUCGGCAAAAAUCCGGGGUGGCAUUUAAGCCAUUUAAUUACUCCGCCCGAAUUAGUACGUGGCGAAGGCAAACACUUCAAGGGAAUUGGCGGGGACCCUCCCCAAAGCGGUGGAAUCUGGUUGUUUUAAUUUAACGAUAACAUAAAAAAUUUUACCACGCCUUGAC
rnacentral:rRNA from 1 species